rnacentral:rRNA from 1 species
UACGUAGGGGGCGAGCGUUGUCCGGAUUUACUGGGCGUAAAGAGCGCGUAGGCGGAUGUUUAAGUGUGGCCUCAAAGCCCCCGGCUCAACCGGGGAUCUGGGUUGCAAACUGGGCAUCUUGAGGGGGAUAGAGGAGAGUGGAAUUCCGGGUGUAGCGGUGGAAUGCGUAGAGAUCCGGAAGAACACCGGUGGCGAAGGCGGUUAGCUGGGCAGUUGCUGACACUGAGGCGCGACAGCGUGGGGAGCA